rnacentral:rRNA from 1 species
AUUGAACGCUGGCGGCAGGCUUAACACAUGCAAGUCGAGCGAGCGGCGGCCGGGUGAGUAAUGUCUGGGAAACUGCCUGAUGGAGGGGGAUAACUACGGGACACGGUAGCUAAUACCGCAUACCAUCGGAUGUGCCCAGAUGGGAUUAGCUAGUAGGGGGGGUAAUGCCUCCCUGAGGCGACGAUCCCUAGCUGGUCUGAGAGGAUGACCAUCCACCCUGGAACUGAGACACGGUCCAGACUCCUACGGGAGGCAGCAGUGGGUAAUAUUGCACAAUGGGCGCAAGCCUGAUGCAGCCAUGCCGCGUGUGUGAAGAAGGCCUUCGGGUUGUAAAGCACUUUCAGCGAGGAGGCGUUACUCGCAGAAGAAGCACCGGCUAACUCCGUGCCAGCAGCCGCGGUAAUAC